rnacentral:rRNA from 1 species
AACUGCGAGUGAAGCGGGAAAAGCUCAAAUUUAAAAUCUGGCGGUCUUUGGGCCGUCCGAGUUGUAAUUUAGAGAAGCGUCUUCCGCGCCAGACCGUGCACAAGUCUCCUGGAAUGGAGCGUCAUAGAGGGUGAGAAUCCCGUCUUUGGCAUGGAACCCCUGGUGCUUCUGUGAUGCGCUCUCGAAGAGUCGAGUUGUUUGGGAAUGCAGCUCAAAAUGGGUGGUGAACUCCAUCUAAAGCUAAAUAUUGGCGAGAGACCGAUAGCGAACAAGUACCGUGAGGGAAAGAUGAAAAGCACUUUGGAAAGAGAGUGAAACAGUACGUGAAAUUGUUGAAAGGGAAACGCUUGGAGUCAGUCGCGUUGGCCAAGACUCAGCCUUGCCUCGGCUUGGUGUACUUCUUGGCCGACGGGCCAGCAUCGAUUUUGCCCCUCAGAUAAUGGCGAGGGAAAGGUGGCACCUUUGCAGGUGUGUUAUAGUCCCUUGUCGCAUGUGAGGGGUGGGAUCGAGGAACUCAGCACGCACCUUUUGGUGUCGGGGCUUCGGCCC